AGCUCCAAUAGCGUAUAUUAAAGUUGUUGCAGUUAAAAAGCUCGUAGUUGGAUUUGUGGUGUGUCCUGUCGGUCCAUUGGUUCAACCAGUGUGUCUGUACGGGUCUGCCUUUCAUGGGAUUGUUGGCUUUGUGGCAUUAGGUUGUCGCAUUGUCGAUGCCCAUCUUUUACUGUGAAAAAAUUAGAGUGUUCAAAGCAGGCUUAUGCCGUUGAAUAUAUUAGCAUGGAAUAAUGAUAUAGGACCUUGGUACUAUUUUGUUGGUUUGCGCACUGAGGUAAUGAUUAAUAGGGACAGUUGGGGGUAUUCGUAUUCCAUUGUCAGAGGUGAAAUUCUUGGAUUUUUGGAAGACGAACUACUGCGAAAGCAUUUACCAAGGAUGUUUUCA
rnacentral:rRNA from 1 species